GGAGGGCUAUAUCAGAAUAGGAUCACCCGUCCGGGCUAAAUCCUUUUUACCGUCAAUUCCUUUUCAGAGAUCCAUCGAAUUUUCUUUUCAUUCAACUGGGAUUUAUUUUCAAUUUAUAUCGAGUAUUAUCAAUAUUUCAUCAAAUAUCAUGAAUUGAACAUUCAAAUCAUAUUUUCAUCACAUAACCACAUAUUUCAAGUAUUUAAAAUACAAUUCAAGUUACAUAAACUUACCUCAUUGCUUGUUUGUGUUUAUAAUUUCAUUAAUCCGAUAUCUUUUCUUUUCCACGAUCAAGUCUCAUAUUUGAGUCGUCCAGAUCUUUAUAAAUAAAUUUGAUCAUCAUUUUCAUUCAUUUCAUCUUCGAAUGCAUUUAAUUAAUGCUCUAGGCAAAAUUACCAUUUUGCCCCUAAACUUUUAAUUAAUGAC
rnacentral:lncRNA from 1 species